GUCUAUGGCCAUAAAACCCUGAACUUGCCAGAUCUCAUCUGAUGUGGGAAGCUAAGCAGGGUCAGGUCUAGUUAGAACUUGGAUGGGAGACCACCAUGAGAAUACCAGGUGCUAUAGGCU
rnacentral:rRNA from 2 species